rnacentral:rRNA from 1 species
GAUGAACGCUGGCGGCGUGCCUAAUACAUGCAAGUCGAACGAAACUUCUUUAUCACCGAGUGCUUGCACUCACCGAUAAAGAGUUGAGUGGCGAACGGGUGAGUAACACGUGGGCAACCUGCCCAAAAGAGGGGGAUAACACUUGGAAACAGGUGCUAAUACCGCAUAACCAUAGUUACCGCAUGGUAACUAUGUAAAAGGUGGCUAUACUACCGCUUUUGGAUGGGCCCGCGGCGCAUUAGCUAGUUGGUAGGGUAAAGGCUUACCAAGGCAAUGAUGCGUAGCCGAAUUGAGAGGUUGAUCGGCCACAUUGGGACUGAGACACGGCCCAAACUCCUACGGGAGGCAGCAGUAGGGAAUCUUCCACAAUGGGCGAAAGCCUGAUGGAGCAACGCCGCGUGGGUGAAGAAGGUCUUCGGAUCGUAAAGCCCUGUUGUUAGAGAAGAAAGUGCUUGAGAGUAACUGUUCACGUUUCGACGGUAUCUAACCAGAAAGCCACGGCUAACUACGUG